rnacentral:rRNA from 1 species
CCUACGGGUGGCAGCAGUGAGGAAUAUUGGGCAAUGGACGAGAGUCUGAACCAGCCAAGUAGCGUGAAGGAUGACUGCCCUAUGGGUUGUAAACUUCUUUUAUAUGGGAAUAAAAUGUUCCACGUGUGGGAUUUUGUAUGUACCAUAUGAAUAAGGAUCGGCUAACUCCGUGCCAGCAGCCGCGGUAAUACGGAGGAUCCGAGCGUUAUCCGGAUUUAUUGGGUUUAAAGGGAGCGUAGGUGGAUUGUUAAGUCAGUUGUGAAAGUUUGCGGCUCAACCGUGAAAUUGCAGUUGAAACUGGCAGUCUUGAGUACAGUAGAGGUGGGCGGAAUUCGUGGUGUAGCGGUGAAAUGCUUAGAUAUCACGAAGAACUCCGAUUGCGAAGGCAGUUCACUGGACUGCAACUGACACUGAGGCUCGAAAGUGUGGGUAUCAAACAGGAUUAGAUACCCCUGUAGUC